rnacentral:rRNA from 1 species
AACGAACGCUGGCGGCAGGCUUAACACAUGCAAGUCGAGCGCCCCGCAAGGGGAGCGGCAGACGGGUGAGUAACGCGUGGGAAUCUACCUUUUGCUACGGAAUAACGCAGGGAAACUUGUGCUAAUACCGUAUGUGCCCUUCGGGGGAAAGAUUUAUCGGCAAAGGAUGAGCCCGCGUUGGAUUAGCUAGUUGGUGGGGUAAAGGCCUACCAAGGCGACGAUCCAUAGCUGGUCUGAGAGGAUGAUCAGCCACAUUGGGACUGAGACACGGCCCAAACUCCUACGGGAGGCAGCAGUGGGGAAUAUUGGACAAUGGGCGCAAGCCUGAUCCAGCCAUGCCGCGUGAGUGAUGAAGGCCUUAGGGUUGUAAAGCUCUUUCACCGGUGAAGAUAAUGACGGUAACCGGAGAAGAAGCCCCGGCUAACUUCGUGCCAGCAGCCGCCGCGG